ACAUGCAGUCGAGCGAGACCUUCGGGUCUAGCGGCGGACGGGUGAGUAACGCGUGGGAACGUGCCCUUUGCUACGGAAUAGUCCCUGGAAACGGGGUUUAAUACCGUAUGGUGUCUUCGGACUAAAGAUUUAUCGGCAAAGGAUCGGCCCGCGUUGGAUUAGGUAGUUGGUGGGGUAAUGGCCUACCAAGCCGACGAUCCAUAGCUGGUUUGAGAGGAUGAUCAGCCACACUGGGACUGAGACACGGCCCAGACUCCUACGGGAGGCAGCAGUGGGGAAUCUUAGACAAUGGGGGAAACCCUGAUCUAGCCAUGCCGCGUGAGCGAUGAAGGCCUUAGGGUUGUAAAGCUCUUUCGCUGGGGAAGAUAAUGACGGUACCCAGUAAAGAAGCCCCGGCUAACUCCGUGCCAGCAGCCGCGGUAAUACGGGGGGGGCGAGCGUUGUUCGGAAUUACUGGGCGUAAAGCGCGCGUAGGCGGAUUGGAAAGUUGGGGGUGAAAUCCCGGGGCUCAACCCCGGAACUGCCUCCAAAACUAUCAGUCUAGAGUUCGAGAGAGGUGAGUGGAAUUGCGAGUGUAGAGGUGAAAUUCGUAGAUAUUCGCAGGAACACCAGUGGCGAAGGCGGCUCACUGGGCUCGAUACUGACGCUGAGGUGCGAAAGUGUGGGGAGCAAACAGGAUUAGAUACCCUGGUAGUCCACACCGUAAACGAUGAAUGCCAGUCGUCGGGUUGCAUGCAAUUCGGUGACACACCUAACGGAUUAAGCAUUCCGCCUGGGGAGUACGGUCGCAAGAUUAAAACUCAAGGAAUUGACGGGGGCCCGCCACAA
rnacentral:rRNA from 1 species